AUUGAACGCUGGCGGCAGGCCUAACACAUGCAAGUCGAACGAGUGGCGGACGGGUGAGUAAUGUCUGGGAAACUGCCUGAUGGAGGGGGAUAACUACUGGAAACGGUAGCUAAUACCGCCUACCAUGAGAUGUGCCCAGAUGGGUUUAGCUUGGUGGUGGGGUAACGGCUCACCAAGGCGACGAUCCCUAGCUGGGCGGAGAGGAAGACAAGCCACACUGGAACUGAGCUACGGUCCGGACUACUACGCGAGGGGGCAGAGGGGUAUAGAGUACAAGGGGAGCAAGCCUGAUGCAGACAUGCCGCGUGUAUGAAGAAGGCAUUCGUGUUGUAAAGUACUUUCAGCGGGGAGUCUUUAUCAGAAGAAGAAGCACCGGCUAACUCCGUGCCAGCAGCCGCGGUAAUUC
rnacentral:rRNA from 1 species